rnacentral:rRNA from 1 species
UACGGCGGGUGCAAGCGUUAUCCGGAUUCACUGGGGUUAAAGGGUGCGUAGGUGGAUUGGUAAGUCAGUGGUGAAAUCUCCGUGCUUAACAUGGAAACUGCCAUUGAUACUACUGAUCUUGAAUUUUCUGGAGGUAAGCGGAAUAUGUCAUGUAGCGGUGAAAUGCUUAGAUAUGACAUAGAACACCAAUUGCGAAGGCAGCUUGCUACAGGGAUAUUGACACUGAGGCACGAAAGCGUGGGGAUCAAACAGG